rnacentral:rRNA from 1 species
GGGCCCGCACAAGCGGUGGAGUAUGUGGUUUAAUUCGAUGCAACGCGAAGAACCUUACCAGGGUUUGACAUCCUGCGAAUCUCUUGGAAACAGGAGAGUGCCUUCGGGAACGCAGUGACAGGUGGUGCAUGGCUGUCGUCAGCUCGUGUCGUGAGAUGUUGGGUUAAGUCCCGCAACGAGCGCAACCCACGUCUUUAGUUGCCAGCAUUUAGUUGGGGACUCAUAGGAGACUGCCGGUGAUAAACCGGAGGAAGGUGGGACGACGUCAAGUCAUCAUGCCCCUUAUGUCCAGGGCUGCACGCAUGCUACAAUGGCAAGUACAACGAGUCGCAAUACCGCGAGGUGGAGCAAAUCUCUUAAAAGCUUGUCUCAG